GCCUCUGUAGCUCAGUUGGUUAGAGUGCUGCUCCGGAAUCGCAGGGCCGUAGGUUCAAUUAAUUCCUACCAGGGGAC